GACCAGAUACGCAAACAGGAAAAGCGUUCACGUUGAGGACGUGGCGAUUUUGCAGGUUCGACUCCCGCUCUGGUCAC
rnacentral:tRNA from 1 species